GAUGGCUGUGAGUUGGCUUAAUCUCAGCUGGCAACUGUGAGCUGUCCCUCCAGUCCCUCACAGUGGUCUCUGGGAUUCGGCUAAACAGAGCAAUUUCCUUGCCCUCGUG
ensembl:miRNA